UGCAAGCCAAGCUGACUGUGGUCUGCC
rnacentral:piRNA from 1 species